AUAGGUAUAGAUAUAUAAAUAUAGAUAGAUAGAUAGAUAGAUAGGAAUAGGUAUAGGUAUAGGUAUAGAUCAAUAGGAAUAGAUAGAUAGGAAGAUUGGUUUUGGUAUUGAUAUAAAGGUAUAGAUAGAUAGAUAGAUAGAUUGGAAUAGGUAUAGAUUAAUAGGAAUAGAUAGAUAAAUAGGUAUAGAUAAAUAGAUAGAUAGAAAGAUAGUAAGAUUGGUUUAGGUAUAGAUAUAAAGGUAUAGAUAGAUAGAUGACUUUAGAUGACUAAUCCCUGAAGGGAAAUUAAAUUGUCAUGGCAGUCCAGCAGAAUACCAUGAAUUAAAUAAAAUACUAAAAAGACCAGAG